CCUACGGGUGGCAGCAGUGAGGAAUAUUGGUCAAUGGGCGAGAGCCUGAACCAGCCAAGUCGCGUGAGGGAGUACUGCCCUAUGGGUUGUAAACCUCUUUUGUCGGGGAGCAAAAGCCGGACGUGUCCGGCUGUGAGAGUACCCGAAGAAAAAGCAUCGGCUAACUCCGUGCCAGCAGCCGCGGUAAUACGGGGGAUGCGAGCGUUAUCCGGAUUUAUUGGGUUUAAAGGGUGCGCAGGCGGAUUUUUAAGUCAGCGGUAAAAUCGUGGGGCUCAACCCCCUCCAGCCGUUGAAACUGGGGAUCUAGAGUGUGCGAGAGGUAUGCGGAAUGCGUGGUGUAGCGGUGAAAUGCAUAGAUAUCACGCAGAACCCCGAUUGCGAAGGCAGCAUACCGGUGCACAACUGACGCUCAGGCACGAAAGCGUGGGUAUCGAACAGGAUUAGAUACCCCGGUAGUC
rnacentral:rRNA from 1 species